rnacentral:sRNA from 4 species
UGUAUCUGAAGUCUGACGAGGAUGAGAACCUCCGGGGGCAAGAGGUUCGACUCGAGCGCAGCGAGAGAACGUUGCUUCAGCAACGGCCCGCAGGGCGAGCCACGCAGUGGCGAGUCAUCCUCUAUCACCGACCA